rnacentral:rRNA from 1 species
GUGGGGAAUAUUGGACAAUGGGGGGAACCCUGAUCCAGCCAUGCCGCGUGUGUGAAGAAGGCCUUUUGGUUGUAAAGCACUUUAAGCGAGGAGGAGGCUACCGAGAUUAAUACUCUUGGAUAGUGGACGUUACUCGCAGAAUAAGCACCGGCUAACUCUGUGCCAGCAGCCGCGGUAAUACAGAGGGUGCAAGCGUUAAUCGGAUUAACUGGGCGUAAAGCGCGCGUAGGUGGCCAAUUAAGUCAAAUGUGAAAUCCCCGAGCUUAACUUGGGAAUUGCAUUGGAUACUGGUUGGCUAGAGUAUGGGAGAGGAUGGUAGAAUUCCAGGUGUAGCGGUGAAAUGCGUAGAGAUCUGGAGGAAUACCGAUGGCGAAGGCAGCCAUCUGGCCUAAUACUGACACUGAGGUGCGAAAGCAUGGGGAGCAAACAGGAUUAGAUACCCGAGUAGUCC